GUGGGGAUAGCCUUUUGGGAAAUAGAGAUUGGGUAGGCGGGGUAGUCUGCCUGGCCAAUGGGAAGUUUGAUUCCCAUGAAUGUUUAGACCAAUCAGAGAGCGGAAUGCCACAGAGGCUCCACCUUCUUUCCCGUGUUGGCAGCGUUGAUUGUGAGCGGGAGAUCCGACCCUGAUCAGACAGCUGAGCCAGAAACCACUAAGAUCAGUUGGAACUGUUGCACUUUCUGGCAGUUGAUUGGCAGUUGUUUUCAGUUCAACUGAAGUGCCCUCCGUGUCUGGAAUGAGAGUCCCUGUCUAGUUGUUUUGAACGUGCCGCACUGAGAUCGGUGAGCAUAUUUUGUACCUUUCAUUUGGUUUUUGUUCUUUUAUCUUGUUGUCAAAUAAUGAUCUUUAUUUGACCUACUUAGUUAUUAAAACGUGAACCUUUGCUGAGUUUGUGUAAAAUGUAAUGUUUUAUUAUUGUUCUUGGAAAAGGAUUUUUCAAACAGUUAUGAAACAUAAUAAGCUAGAAUGGUUUAAUAAUAAUUCUAUGUUUCUGCUGGUCUUGUCUGUUGACAGAUCAAGUUUUUUUGUUGUUGUUGUUGUGUUGUUUUUGGUUUUUUUGCUUUUUCUUCUCUUCUCCUGGAUUGUUCCUGGAAUGGAUUCCUCUACAGACUUUGAUGGUGAGCCUUCCCACCUGGACUUAGAAAGAUCUGGAUUUCCUCCCAUGUUGAGUGAGACCUGAACCAGGAUUUAAUUUGAUUCAUUUGUCAUCUAAAAGAGAUUAGAGUGCAAACUACCAGGGUGCACCCAAUAGAUUUAAAUUUGAUAUUUAGCACUUGGCCAAGUAUUGUUGUUUUUCUUUUAUGUAUUUUAUUGUGUGUAAUUUUAUUUUCUUAAUUGUAUGUCUUGUCCACUUGUGAGUUUAUGAUUCAUGUUACUAAAGCUAAUUGUUUUUUAAAUUCACUCAACUGUGUAUGUGUGUCAUUUAAACACCCAUCGUGCUCCGACAGCCGAACCUAU